UUGUCAAUCCCCGACAGAGGCACCAAAAUGUGAUUAUCAUUUUACUUAUUCUAUAAUUCCUUUUAGAAUAAAGCUGUAUAGGACAAUUCAAACACAAGAAAAGACUAAGUACAUGAGCUUAACUUGUUAGGGUCACUCAAUUAACUGUAUUUCGAACCUCUAAAACACUAAGAAAUACUACAAUGCUUCCUCCUAAUAACAAUACUCCUUCAUCAACUCAUAACCACAUUGUGCAACCCUACACUCUCAAAAGACCACUCAAAACUCAAUAAAUUCCAUCCAACAUUAGGAAUAAUAGACUUCACUCCAAUCAAUCUGAAUUCACACAAUUUUUGUAAUCACAGACUUCUUUUGUCGAAACACACACAACUCUCAAUAAACAACAAUCAUAAUCUUCCAUCCAUAAUCAAUUUUCCAAUAACUUCUCAUAUAAUUCAAUCAUAUAAUAUUCCAAUCACAUAACCAAUAACUCAUAAAUCAAUCUCUAAUUUAUUCCAUAGACUCACUUCUCAGUAUUCAAAAACUAUCCAUUACUCUUCAAUAACAAAAAAACAAAAAAAACAAAAAGGAAACAUCAAGCUUAACCCCGAUUCAUGACUAUCACAGUCUGACAUCCUAAUAAACUUCUAAAACUCCUAUAUAAUUGCUAUUGAUUUCUAGAUUCUAAUUAUAAUCCUAUAAUAACCGCUUUUAAUAACUGAAUCAAUCAUCCGUCCUCCUAAAUUGACUAUUUUAUAGACUAUUAAUCUAUUUUACCAAUAUCUUACAAAAACGAACUAAUAUUUAUUCUAUGCUUAGUAACUCCCUUCAAAUAAAAUAUUUAGAACAUUA
rnacentral:lncRNA from 1 species